CAGCGGUCGGUUAUCACUAAGCAGCGAUGACGUAAAUUUCACACCUUUCCUUUUGCUGUUCAUACGAAACGAACGUUGUAAUUUUCAAUGGAAAAGAAUAGGGCGAAUAGACGUGCAGAUUUUACAUGAAGGGAGCGGGUUUUUAAAAAAAAAAAAAAAUUCCCAGCUUGGACCCUUGAGGAGGCGGUUAUGAUUAUACAUGACGUUAACAUUUCGUUUGAAAUAACACAGAAAUCAAACAUUUACAGUGUGACUAACACAGAAGAUAGCUUUUCUAUAUGUUUUUAAGACUACAUGAAUGAUUUUGCAAAUAAAUUCUUGCCAAAAACUU